GUGAAGAGGACGGUCCCCAGUGAAAGGGAGAGUGGGAGUGAGUCCCAGGUGGCCGGGAGGCGGCCGACCUUAAAGGGACAGAUGCUUUUCCUCUUCCCGAGCCGAAUCUACUUUGAAAGAAGAGGGGUGGGGGGAAGUGACGGCAUAAGUCGGGUGCCCUUAGAAGAGGAUGGAAGAGAAAAGACGAGUUUAGGAGUUGUCCAGUUAGUGGCCAGCACGGUAUUAAGAAUUCCAAUUACAGCUUUGAUAGAGAUGACAGUGACCUGUGCAACAGAUAGCCCAGUGCACCGUAAACGCCUCCUACCUCUUUAUAAACGAGGAACCCAGGCCUGGUGCACGUUGGAAAGGAAAGAAACAAGUGGACAGAAAGAGAGUGCCGUUGCUAUGGAUGGAGGGAACUAUGGAAGCAACAUCCUAAACUGUCUGAGGACACAGAAACAGCUCCACUUUCCACUUUGAAUGGAGAGAUUAGGAAGCAUUCCUGGAGCAUAAGUUAUUUUGAAACAU
rnacentral:lncRNA from 1 species